rnacentral:rRNA from 1 species
AACGAACGCUGGCGGCAUGCCUAACACAUGCAAGUCGAACGAGACCUUCGGGUCUAGUGGCGCACGGGUGCGUAACGCGUGGGAACCUGCCCUUAGGUUCGGAAUAACUCCCCGAAAGGGGUGCUAAUACCGGAUAAUGUCUUCGGACCAAAGAUUUAUCGCCUUUGGAUGGGCCCGCGUUGGAUUAGCUAGUUGGUAGGGUAAAAGCCUACCAAGGCGACGAUCCAUAGCUGGUCUGAGAGGAUGAUCAGCCACACUGGGACUGAGACACGGCCCAGACUCCUACGGGAGGCAGCAGUGGGGAAUAUUGGACAAGGGGCGAAAGCCCGAUCCAGCAAUGCCGGGGUAGGGAUGAAGGCCUUAGGGUUGUAAAGCUCUUUUACCCGGGAUGAUAAUGACAGUACCGGGAGAAUAAGCUCCGGCUAACUCCGUG